AGCAGUUGGAGCCUUGCUCGGCGGCGCGGCACACGCCACCGUAAAAGUGCACAUCUCUACAUCUCUUCUGGAACGCUGCCAGUCUGCCACGGGUGAACAAGGCUCGCUCAACAAGGCAAUAUGGCUACACUUCGUCAACUCAUAUUCAUUGCUGUUAUGGUGGUGUGUCUUCUGGCCCUGGUUAUGGCAGCUCCAGCCAAGAAAUGUCCCAGCUACUGCAAGAAGGAAUGCCUGAACCCAGUACUUUGCCCACCACAGUGUGAGGAGUGCAUGAUAAACUUGUUGGUCUGAAGUGUUCCUCUGGUGCUGCCCUCUGGCCACGGCGUGUGCGACCACAUCGGCACUGUCUCCUUGUUCUUCGUCGUCGUCGAAGCUGCUGUCCCGCCCCGGGUUCCUCAGAAGCACCGCCGGAGAAGGGCAGACCAUGACGGAGGCGUUCAACACGUGGCACGACUGCGGUGUAUAGGAGAGGCGGUUAAAUCAAAGCAUGCAUAUACAGUCGUGCA